UGGCCCUGCCAAGGCAGCGCCAGCAGCCACUGGUGGCCCUGCCAAGACAUCGCAAGUAGAAAAAGGUGGCCCUUCCAAGGCAUCGCAAGCAGAAAAAGGUGGCCCUUCCAAGGCAUCGCAAGCAGAAAAAGGUGGCCCUUCCAAGGCAUCGAGAGCGGAAAAAGGUGGCCCUGCCAAGGCAUCGAGAGCGGAAAAAGGUGGCCC